rnacentral:rRNA from 1 species
UACGUCGGGUGCAAGCGUUGUCCGGAAUUAUUGGGCGUAAAGAGCUCGUAGGCGGUUUGUCGCGUCGGCUGUGAAAACCCGAGGCUCAACCUCGGGCCUGCAGUCGAUACGGGCAAACUAGAGUGUGGUAGGGGAGACUGGAAUUCCUGGUGUAGCGGUGAAAUGCGCAGAUAUCAGGAGGAACACCGGCGGCGAAGGCGGGUCUCUGGGCCAUAACUGACGCUGAGGAGCGAAAGCGUGGGGAGCGAACAGG